CUUCAACUUCAAGAGAUGACUCAGUCACCUUAGCAACAGGGGAAGAGAAAGAAGAAGAAGAGUCAACUCUCCAAACCCAAGGAUUGUUAGAAAAUGAAACCAGAGAGGUCUUUGUACCCAACAUUAAAAGAAACCCAGAUACUAAAAUCAAAGUUACAACAACCAGCAAGAACUUCAGAGUAGAUGACACUGAAGUCCAACAUGAAGAGAGGUUGUAAUCACCCAUCUCACCCCCUCUCUCUUACCACCCUCUCUCUCUCU